rnacentral:rRNA from 1 species
AGCUCUGUAAGCGUAUACCCAAGUUGUUGCAGUUAAAACGCUCGUAGUCGGAACUUGGCGGGCAGUCUGGGGCGUCUUCACGGACGGAUUUCCAGGCUUUGGCCUGCCUUUGUGGAGGGGGGCCCGGCGGGACUUGAGUGUAUUCGUCGCGGUCGCUGCCACCGUUUACUGUGAAAAAAUUAGAGUGUUCAAAGCAGGCGUUUGCCAAGUGAAUACCAUAGCAUGGAAUAAUAGAAUAGGACCUGUCUUCCUGUUUUGUUGGUUUGUGAGGAACGGGUAAUGAUUAAGAGGGACGGUUGGGGGCAUUUGUAUUCCGGCGUCAGAGGUGAAAUUCUUGGAUUGUCGGAAGACAGACAGCUGCGAAAGCGUCUGCCAAGGACGUUUUCA